GCGGGAUUAGUUAAAUGGUAUAACAUCAGUUUUCCAAACUGAAGUGAAUUUUUUGGGAUGAGCAGGCAAACUGCUUUGCCUGCG
rnacentral:tRNA from 1 species